GUCGUUUAUUAUCAUUUUGAAGUAUUAUGUAUUGCACAUAAUCAUGUGUGCUACCUUUUUAUAUGACUGGCAGCAUGGUAGGUUUGUUUACACCAGCAUCACAACAAACAUGUGAGUAAUACAUUGCGGUACAGUGUUACAAUGGCUUUGUCGCUAGGUGAUAAGAAUUUUUCAGCUCCAUUAUAAUCUUAUGGGACUAAUGUCAUAUAUGUAGUCCAUCGAUGAUCAAAAUGUCAUUAUGGGGCACAUGACUAUAAAUGUACCUCUUGAGGACUGGCCUUUCUGACAGCUUUUUUUUUUAGUUUUGAGGAUCAAACCCUUGGGGCCAUUGAUUCAUUGGAUCAUUCAGCAAAUGAUCAAAUGGGUAAUUUGCGGUACAAUCUAAGCAAAGGAAAACCUGAAGAUGUCCAUUUCUUCAAGGAAGCUCUAAUCUGGAACAGCAAUAAAUUCUCUACGCAAAAGAGAAACACUCAAGGCAGUAAGGUAACAGCUCUGAAAGUGCUAAAAAUAUGGAGGGGAGCGAGCGAUAACUUGUAUGGUCACCAUUGACCUUGCUGAUGCAGAAAUAAAUCAUCUUUACUCUUCAUUCUCUUGAAUUCUCACCUACCCUGCCACCUCAUCCAAAAUUUGUUAAUUCUAUGUGCAAAACAUCUUUCAAAUCCACCCCUCUCUCUUCAUCCUCACUGCCCCCAUCCUAGUCCACAUCAAUGCCAGUCUUCUGAUUUUCCUGUCCCUAGUCUGAUCUUCUCCCAAUGCACUCUGCAGAGUGACCUUUAUGAAAUGUAGAUCUGAUUAUGCCACGUUCCCACUUUAAAAGCCUCUAGAGGUGUGAACCUCUAGAGUCUUCUAGAAUCUGACUUCCAUUCUCUGUCCAGCUUUAUUUCUUGCUGGACUACUCUAUGCUCCAGCCAUAUUGGUCAAAAAUUGUUUUAGUUUCUGGAACCUAUGGUGAUCCUCUCACCGAGGCCUGCUAUUUUCUCUUACUGGAACUCUGUCCCCUCCCCUGGGCACCCUCCCGCCUCUGGCCUAGCGAAUUCCUUCCAUCUUCCGGUCUCAGUUCCUCCAAGAAACCUUCUCACCUAACCCGUCCGGUCAGGGUACUUUCCUUACCUAACACCCACUCCCUCGUUUACUUCUCUUUGGCUGGACUGAAGUUGGGCAGGGCAGGGGCUAGUCUGCCUUCUUCUGGGCCCAACCCUCCCGGCCGGCACCACAGGCAUUACAGUGCCUGGAAUGUGUGAGACGGAUCCUGCCCUUUCCUUCACCAAGCCACCUAGCAGAACCCAUGCCAUCCAGGGCAUCUGCGAGAGAAACACCUCUCCCAGCCUCCCCUGAGCAGCCCACUAGCGCUGUGGAUUCCAGAUCCUGAAACUGCAUCUUGCACUCGGUGUCCUGAGCCCAGCUGAAGUGGCAGGAGCACCACUGACUCCAGAACAGACUUGUAAAGAAAGAAGGUAUCUCCCAAGUCAGCCACAGAGGCUCAUGGUUUCCUGCUCCAUCUAGUCCUGGGUGUUUGCUUAAAUGGGCACUGGCUGACAUGACUGAAACCUCAUGCAUCCAUCACACAUUCACCCUCAACAAAGACACAGCCCCUCCUUUAAGGCCUGUGCUCCCUGUACAUACACAGUGCCCUGCAGCACAGAGAAACCACAUGAAUGGCCUUCUUGGCUCAAGGAGUCAGGGAGUAGGGGCCUGCUGAGCAUGACCAUGUCCAGAGAGUGGGGACCCCAAGAACUGUAACAGCCCAUUGGACAGAUGUGGGCAGGAAUGGGGACAAAAUCACCCACAGUCUCAGACCCCAAAUGAGGUGUGAAUAUGAAAUCCAUGAAAACCUCAUGUGGAGGCCAAAAGACUAACUAGAUUCCCAUCUCAUCUCUCCAGGCCAGAAGCCUAUUAUCCAAUCCUUCCUCUCAUUGCAAGCCCCAGAAGUAACAGCAAUUACAAAAUAAAGAAAAAUAAGAACUUGUCAGCUCCAAUUUUGGGGUUUGAAUGUGGUCUCUGGGGAAUGAUCAGACGGUGGAAGCAGCUGUGGGCAGGGACUCCUCAUGCAGCGAUGACUACUCACUAACCCAGGGCAUGCAUUCGAGGUAAACCCUGUGGGAUUCAGGGCUUGUCCUGCAUCUCACAGUUGAGCGGGCAAGAGCCACCUCUGCCCAAGUGAGGCUUUGUCCCGCACGUCAUCUGUAUGACCUUGCUCUAGGCUGCUCAGGGACGGUAAGAUUUUUGUUCUUGAGGACUGGAGCAGGUGAUGGCCCAAGUGCAAUGAGUUCUGUGGGCAUCAAUGCUCAAAAUAAACACUAAUGCACUACAGUCCCUCCCACUUGAGAGGCCCCUACCUGUCCCACAAUAUCUCAUCCACCUAGAAUUGAAUCCUGGGUCAGAUCCAUACUCAACCAACUCAUUUAAGUGCUACCAAGGGCUGACAGUGGUAAUAGGCUUUCCCUAUUACCUAUAAGGGGCAUAUGUUCCUUUUAUAGAUGCAGAAAUUAGAAGUCAGAUUGCUUAAGUGACUUG
rnacentral:lncRNA from 10 species